ensembl:lncRNA
UGCUGGAAAAGAACUUUUUUUUCACCACAUAUAUCGCUUAAACAUUAAACUUUCCCGAAUGUUCCUUUUUGUUUGUUGAUUUUGUUUGUUUUGUUUUGUGGUUUUUUUUCUACCGAAAAGAGCAAAGAAGAUGACAAGAUAUCUGACACCAACAUGAGAACACUUAAAAGAUCGUUUAGUUCACAUGGUUAACAUGCAAACUUGAUUUUGAUUGCAGUUUCAUGAUGUGCAACAGAAGGGAAAAGAAGCAACACACCAACAGAUGAGCACAACAGAAUGAAGUGUAAGCAAGAAAAAGAAACUGUUCACAUAACUUUUAACAGCAAGAUAUAUUAUUUCUUUGCAUGAGAGAAAAUUACAUGGUUGUAAAACCACUGCUUUGGAAAUAUAUCAACAAACUUCUCAUGCCUGAAUUUAGUUUCUUCGUUAGUGGAACAUAAGCAGCUCCUAAAACAUUUUACUAGGUCUGCUAGUGAGACAGUCUUUUUUCCUAAGUUAUGAUGCUCAUAAUAAACUGCCUACUGGCUAAAGUGUUACACUUGGGUCGAGGCAAUCCCAGAUCUGAGUCUAGAUGGGAAAAAAAAAUCACUGAGAACAGCCCUGUGGAGAAGGACUUGGGGAUCUUGAUGCACAAAAAGCUGGACAUGAGCCAGAAGUGCACUCUUGGAACCCUGAAAGCCAACUGUCCUGCGCUGCAUCAAAAGAGGGGUGGUCAGCAGGGAGAGGGAGGUGUUUGUUUUCCUCUACUCUGACCUUGUCAGGCCCCAUCUGAGGUACCAUGUUCUAGCCUGUGGCCUCCAGCACAAGAAGGAUGCAGAGCUGCCAGAGCAGGUCCAGAGGAGGGCCACAAAGAUUAUCAAAGUGCUGGAGCACCACUUCUACGAAGAAAAUUUGAGGGAGUUGGGCUUGUUUAGCUUGGAGAAGAGAAGGCUCUGGAAAGACCUCAUUGCAGCCUUCUAGUACUCAUAACCAGAUUACAAGAAGAAGGGGAAGCAACUUUUUACAUGGUCUGAUAGUGAUAGAACAAGGGAGAAUGUCUGAACUAAAAGAGGGGAGAUUCAGGUUAGAUGUUGGGAAGAAAUUUUUUACUCAAAGGGUGGUGAGGUACCGGAACACUUUGCCUAGGGAUGCUGUGGAUGCCUCAUCUCUGGAGGUGUUCAAGGGCAGGCUGGAUUGGGCCCUGGGCAGCCUGAUCUAGAGGUUGGCAACCCUGAUCAUGGCAGAGGGAUUGGAACUAGAUAACCUGUAAGGUCCCUUCCAGCCUAAGCCAUUCUAUGAUUCAGUGAUUCUACAAUUUAACGCUGACUUGAUCUUAGCAUCCUCCACUAUUUUAGCAUCUUGACAAACCCUGAAGUGAAGAUGAAAUCCUAAAUAAGUAGAAGUAAAUGCCAACGGUUACGAUUUCUUGGUAAUUUAUUCUGUGUGUGUGUAAGGAUUAGUUACUUUGUACAAGGUGAGAGGAACUUUAAGAACAUAUUAAAACUGUUGAUUCCUGUUGGUCAUGCUGUUGGGGUAAAGGUUCUCUUCCCCUCAACAAAGGUGUAUUUAUUGCUAUCGUUAAAAAAUACAUUGCAUAGUGUUGUGGAAUAGUUAAGAGGUAACCUUUGAUAGCAACUCUUAUGAAAACAGACCACCAGUUCUCUGCUUGCUAAAACAGAGUUUUAGGCAUUUUCCCUUUGACCUUGCCUCUCCAAACAGAAUUUUACUCACUAACAAAUCUAAGCCCGGAGGUUUUGUUAGUCUGCUACUUCGGUUUUAUGAUCCUUCAGCAAUUCUCAGUAAAAAAGCUGUGAUGGGGAGAGAGUGCUAAAGUAGGUAGAAAUUAUUUUGGUAAUGUGUAAGAAGAGUAACUGCAUGCUGUAGUAAAUUUACCAUGAUAGCUACCAGAGGGUGUGGUAAAUAAUCUGUGCUCUUUCUGCAUCUACUUAUUUCAAACAAGCUGUUUUCACAGAUUCUCAAUCUUUAGUCAAAUUCUUAAGAUUUAUAGAUGUUUGAAUCAAUUAUCAGCAGUGAUGACAUAAUGGGUUUUGUUUUUUUUUUUUUUUUUUUUUUUUUUGCUGCUGCUGUUUUCUCAUAAAACUGCUCAUGCAAGAAUAAUAAUCAGCAGAACUCCAAGAGAAUGGUACACUACAAAUGUACAGUCAUUAAAAAAGAAGAGUAGGAUAUGCUUAUACAAUGCUGAAAACACCAGAAAUCCCAAAGAAAAGAGCAGGUAUCUUUUACAUUAGAAUAUUUAACCAAAAUAUAUUCAAAAAUCUUUAAUUUUUUUUCCAAUCAUAGCAUAAUAACAAUGCAGAAAAAGAUGUGUUUAGUUUACAUAGCACAAUAUCUUCUUAAACAUAGCAUUGUCAAAAAUUUGUAUCCGUAAAUUCUCAUAAUUGUAAUGGUAUGGGUGUUUAAAUUUUCUUAAUUGACAAAAGAUUGAUUACUUGAAAAUAAAUAAGGAAAAAUCCUUUGUGUAGAAUUAGUCCUAAUAUGUUAUUGAACCUCAAGACGUUCCUGAAGAUUUUUCCCUUUUUCUCCUUUCACUACUGUAUUUUAACACUAAAGCUUCAUAACCUUUGAGUUUCUUAUGCCAGUGUUUGGAUUCCCUACAUGACUACCACUUGCUAUUCAUGAAAUGUUCCCAUUUUGCUUCUGAAGGAAAUAAAAAUUGGAUAUUGUAAGAAAGUAAUCAUUUCAGACUUCAUUUAUUAACAAACCAUAUUCCAAAAGAGUCUUGAGUGCCCUGUCUGAUAGACUAUUAACCUUGGAAGCUCUCUGAUUUUGAUGAUGUUUGGCACAUCAAAUUAGAAAAGGUGACUUGUAAACAAAUAAACAAACUGCUGCCUUCCUGCUUCUGGUUUCUCUGUCAUAUAUAAACAAGUUCUGAAAUGUUUUUCAACUUUUUCUUUAUUUGUCUUUGACCUUUAAAAUACAAUGAAUAUCAAUGUGGAAUUCAGUUUGCAAAAUAACUUCUUUGAGGUAUGAAAUAACAAGAAUAUGAGAUGUCUCAGCUCAUAUAACAUAUGAUUCUUUCAUAAAAAAAAAAGAAGAAGAAGAAAAAGAAGAAGAACCAAAAAACCAACCACAAAAAAAUAACAUUACAUUCGUACCAGAAUGGCUAGAGAAGUUAAAUAUAUUAAACACAGGAACACAAAUAGUUUUUUAUUUUUCAUGUUUGUGGCCUUUGUCUCUUAUAACAUAGCACUCAUAUUUUCAUUGAUAACAUUUUUUCUUCAUUAUGUUACAGUAGAAUUGAGAAACAGGUGGGAAGUAAGUCUUUAAAAAACACAUAAAAUGCCUUUUGCCCUUGACUCACCUGCUGAAUUUAUCUGAUAUUUUAUGUAGCCUCCUAGCUAUUUCAUUUUGUUCAGUAAGCUAAAAGUACAAGUUAACAUUAAGCUAUGCCUGCCUUUACAGAAGGAAACAGAAGAAACUAGAGAAAGAUUCUCUGCCAAAAAAACCCAACCAAAACUAGAAUUAUGAUUCCCACUCAAAUCAAUUGACAGUGAUAAAAAAUUGAUUUUCUGUGUGAACUGAUCAGUUUUAUGUAUGAGGUAUUAGUUAUUAAAAGCUAAAUCUGUGGAAUCUAUACAUGACUGACAGACACAAAAAACUCCUUCUGAGGUUUUGAAACACAUUAUAUACAACUAGCUUACUGUAAAAGCAUAUUAACAUCUAGGAGAGAAAGUAGCCUUCUAAACAAUUGGCCAUAAAAUAUUAAUCCUCCCAAUUCAUUAAGCACGUUAAAGAGAUUUUGAAACGUCACAUGAGCGUUACUCUAGAAGAAGAUACUUUUCAUGGUUUUAGAUUUGGAAAAAUGAAUGGGAAUGUGCAUUGAUUCUUUUUGCUUAUUGGUGAAACUCUUCAAAACUGUUUUUUUGACAGAUUUCUCUGGUAUACUGUGGAGAAGGAAAAGCUGUGCUUUAACAUGAAAAAAGAAGGCGUUCCAUGUUUUUUUUGCUUUUUUUUUUUUUUUUUUUUAGCCCAAAUGGAAUUUCUUUAGGUAUUAGAAACUAGAAUUACAUGUUGUUCUGGCCAGUAAGAUAGGGUCAGUUGUUAGAAUAUGUAAAUACCUGCUGUUAGGAAAAUGGAAUAGUGAAUCAAAAAUGGUCUAUGUGAGGUCAUCUGAAAAGUAUAAAAAAGUUGUAAGUAUUCUUGCAGCUCUUGAUUGUAUUUUCCAUGCAAUUGGAUUCUGCAAUCCUGUAGAAAGCAGGGAAACCUCAGGAGUUUGAGUGAUGGUUAAACUAACUUUGUUCCUUACCUGACCUGGGGGAGAGUCUCUUCACAGGAGGGAGGACUGCCAAUUCUCACAGGUAAGUCUAGGCAAAAUUCAGGCUGAGGCUCUUCAAGAAAGGAUGCAGGAGACACAAAGGAGCUACUAUUCUCAUUUAGUCACUACUAAGUCAAAAAGAACUAAAGGUCUUAACAGUAGAGCAAACCACUAGGGAAUGAGGAGUCAGAGUCUGUGUGAACUGGGAGAAGCAAUAAUGAGAAAUUAAAAGCUUAAGCCGGAGGUAAAGACCUUGUUUACUUUGGUGCCACCUGUCUGAGCUAACCAAGUGUAACCUGCCUGCACUGAUAAUCAUGAGAGUAACACUGUAUAUCUGUUGGUUUGGCAAUUGAAGGUCACAGUUACUGGCUUCAGCCUACUUCUGUGCUGCGCAGCUCACAAAGACUCAGGCAUAGGGUGACGCAUAUGAAGGGACCUGACUGUACAGAAGACAAUGCCAGUUAACUUAUAAUUUUGAUGGUGUUCUGCUGCGUGAAUUAACAAAUGCUAGGAGAAUUUUGUAGUAAAUCCCCUAUCAAAAAGUUCCACCAGUCUACUUAAUUCACUGCAGAUACCUGUAAAACUCUAUUUGAAAUACAAACCAGUAUGAAUUAGCCUGAUCUACUUCAUAUGGAGCCAGGAGUUUGAAACAAUUGAGUAGGCUAAAAAAGAGGGACUAUUUCAUUUACAGUAGGUGCUACAAGGUAAUCUGCAUAUGCAGAAAAAUGCCUCAGGAUUCUUUUGUGAUUUUGUGAUCAUGAAGUGACCAUGAGUGGCUGUUAUACUCAAUGGCAAGCUGGCAAACUGCAGCAGUAGCUUUGUGUUUGAGAGGGAACACUUUGUGAGUGGGCAGAUCAAAUAGUUCAAGCUAAAUAUGAGCACCUGUGAGUCUUGGCUAUUUGAAUCAAUGUCAGCUUAAAGGGAGGAGGGGAAAGGUAUCUAGAAAUAGUGUAUAUCAAAAGUACUAUUAAGAAAAUACUUUAUUCCAAAACUGUGCUGUGAUGGGUGCUUAUUUUGGAGUGGAGUCAUGUAGUUCUCAGGUACACUUACGGGAAGAUCAAAAAACAGCCAAAAGGAAUAUCUAGAUAUGUUAUGCCCAUCUUGUAGAGAGAGUGAUAACAUGCUCAGAUCUAUUAAGGUUAUCACUUCUGGCCUUUUAGAAAAUAGUGUUACUUCUUAAACUUUUUUUCUGCUUCACUGACAAAAAAGUGUAUGUGCUUAGUUUUUUUGGUUUUUUUUUUUUUUUUUCUAAAUAACUAAAGUUCACUGAAAUGAUAGACAAACAGGGUCAGUUUAAUUGAAUCCAGUUCAGCUUUGCUGAUUCAGUGUUUUGUUCAGCACAGAAAUGAUAGUAAAUGAAAUUUAUUUACAGAGAAGCAGAGUCCCUGAAACUCCGUUCCUCCUACCCAGUCAUCUCAUCCUUGCAGGAGCUUAUUGCAUCCAGGAUAGCAAAAGGGAGAAAGUAAACAGAAGUGACUGAAAUACUAUGUUCUCUCUUUUUAAAUACUGAUUAAAUAGCAAAGUCUUCCAUAAACAUAAUGUGGCUGAUACUUACCCUACUUUUCUGAGUAUGAUUUUGAGAUGGGUGUCACUGCCAGGAGGUAUGGUUUCACUGUUUGAUAUGCUUCUCUGAGUACUGUACCCUCUAACUUUUUAUUGUUAUUUAUUCUUAGUUGAUGCUUUGUGAGAACUAUUCAUGAAAAUCAUAUUUCAUUAAAAAAGCUUUUAUUCAGGAAAAUAUUUCAUAAAUUCAAGAUGAGAAUCUGGGAGAGAGGUGAUGCAUCUAGGUUGAGAUUAUUUUUCUUCUCAUCCAGAAGCCAUUGCUGAGAGCAUAUAAUCAGGAUAGGAGUGACUCUGUGCUGUUUUCUGCUGAGAGCCAGGUAGGGACAGUUGGCGGCACACUGGUUCCCAUAUCUAAGCUGAACAUACAAGAAUUCUCAAGUGAAAUCCAC